rnacentral:snRNA from 1 species
GGAUGGGAGGGGGAUCUGGCUUUGACAUCUGUCACCCUAUUCAUUGUCAGGGUUGAGCAAGCUGGCUAGACAGGCAUCCCCUUCCUCCCUCAAGUUCCUUGUUCCUCUUUCCUUGAAGCUAUGCACUUGGUCAAGGAGGACGGCCUUCCCCACAGAGGAGACUGUUCUUCAGGCCUGGCAUAGGAGUAGCUGCACUCCCCUGCUAGAACUUCCAAACUAGAGUCAAGUCAGGAGCUGGGCACUUUGGCAGACACCUAUAAUCCCAGCAUU